UCUCUAUAUGUAGUGUUCAUAAAAUAAAUUGGACGAUACAGAGAAGAUUAACAUGGCCCCUGCGCAAGGAUGACAAGCAUAAAUCGAGAAAUGGUCCAACUAAGA